CCCCCCCCCAAAGGAAUGAGAAUGGUUUGAUCUCUCACCCAAUCAAGCUUUCACACAAAAGUUUCCACUCAUGUUCUAUCUGGUUCUGUAAAUGAUAUGCUUUGUCAUGUAAGUCACUACAUCUCUCAGAUUCACGAAUCUGCAUAAGAUAUAUUAUUUCUUCAAAUGGCUAAGAUUAGGUUGGUGUAAUAUAUUUCUUCAAACAAAUUUAUUCAAUUAAAGCUUACACGCUAGCAUGAAUUAAUAUUAGCUUGUGAUAUCUGAUGGAGUAGUACAGGUCAAUUGAUAAUAUUGUUGUGUGUGGGUUUUGUUUUGGUAACAUGAAAAUGACUCAAUUGAUAACUGAAGGAACACCAAUCACUACUUGGCCACAUGAAGGAAUUUGAGUUUCAUGAUGAUCAGGACCACAAAACCACAUUUCACUGCUUCAAUGGCUGUAAAGAUCCGGCUUCACCCAUUUGAAACGUCCAGGCAGAGGCUCAUCUUUCGCAGGGUCAAAGUUGUACCUGAAAAAUUAAGAGUGAUGCCUGAAAUCUACAUAAAACUUUAAAAGAAAGUGAAAGUUGUUGAAAGGGCAGUAUGUAUAUACUUACUUCUCUUUGAAUUGUUGCUCCUGUAAUUUCUCAGAUUCCCCGAAGAAGAGAUCCAAUUCCUCUGAGGUUGGGAUUUGUGUUCUCAUUGAAUUAGUUAGGCUCGAUCGAGGUUGGGGUCUAGUAGUAGAACCAGGAGUUGUAACCAUCUGAGGAUCUCGAAUCAAACUGAUAGGUGUACUUUCCCUUGUGCUCCUGCAGAAGAUCCAUGACAGAAUUACUUAAAAAAUCUGUAAUAAUUUCUCUGAAACUGAAGAGAAUGUUUGUAACCUUGAGUAGUUAAAGCUGACAAGCAACAAUAAUGGUGGUAUAAAUGCAGAUAGAAGAAAAUCUCAAUUUCUUAAACUUGUACUAUCUUAAGAAGAGAUUGUUUAACAAAAAAAAAUGGUCUGCUUUUCACCAUUUGAGAGAAGAACAGAGAAAUCAUCCUCUUUUAUUCCAUGGUCUGUUUUUCUCUCUUCAGAUCAGACCCUCUUCUCGAAAACAAACAAGGGGACAUGACAAGACAUGAUAGGACAGAACAGGACAGUCUUCUAA